CAAAAGCCAUCUCCCAUGUAACCACAUGCUUCAGGAGAAGCUGACCCUACACCUAGCUCCACUGAUUUUUUUGGAAGAUGACCAAAAUGCUAUCUCUAUUUGGAGAUAAUAAUUAGUCUCAUCUUCAUUGGCUUCUUCUCGAAUGCGGAGGGAAUUAUCGGAUGAGUACAUUGGAACAUGGUCGCCAUGUGGCCUGCUGCCCCCGUGUACCACUUGGAGACCAGCCUAGCAUGGAAAUGACCAGAUGUUGGAAGCUGAGCUACUGGAAUGGAAGCAGUGGCUCAACUCACAUCAGUACCCAGAUACACAGAUGCUCCGGGAUCUGAGGAAGUGACCUAUAGAAAAUGAAAAAUGACCAGGUAAAGGCAAUACGAAGGGAAGUAGAGGGGCUUAUUAGGCAGCUCUGGACAAGCAGAGAAAAGUGAUGGUUCAACACGUAGGGUGCGCCAAAAAUGGGCUUGUUUCACUGGUUAUUUGAACACAGAAGCAGGGCUGUCUCCCUCUCUCUCUCUCUUUCUCUCCAUUCAUUAAUUAUUUUUCUGAGUAGGCUAAUAAUAUAUGCUUUUUGUGAAACAUUUGAGAAAUGGAAGAAAGUAUAAGAAAAAAAUAAAAAUCACUUAUACAUGUAUCUUCUAAUAUUUCAUUAUAUCUAUACAGGCCCUUUUCUUUCUAGUUUUGUGAUCAUUUAUUCAGUCAACAUUUCCACAAAUAUUUAAUGCAUUUUGUAUGUGUCAGGCACCAUACCAGGCACUAAGAAUAUAGUCGUGAUCAAUAAUUGGCAUAAUUCCUUAUCUCAUAGAACUUUGGGUCUAGCAGAAGUGACAUAUAAACACACAACUGCAUUAAGAAUUAUUUAAUCUCAAAUUUCACAAGCUCUGCAAAGAACAAGUACUAAGUCUUCGGGAAGAAUUGGGAAGUCUGGAUGUAGGGAGUGAACCUAAAAGAAAAACUUUGAAGCUGAGACUAGACUAGUCAGAAACUGCUGGCCAGGGGUGAAUGUGUUGGUCCUAGAGGGGUAGAGUAGGGGCACGCUAGGAAUAGAAAGGAAAAUUGCUGGUGGAGGGAACAGCUUGCCUGAGGUCCUGAUGAGGAGACAGUGACUAGAUGGGGGUGAAAUGGCUUUGUGGAAAUUAGAAAGAAAAAUAGGAGCCAGAUCCUACAAGACAAGUGUUGACAAACAAUAGCCCAGAGGCCAAAUCCAGCACCCCACCUGUUUUUGUAAAUAAAAUUUUAUUGGAACAGAGCCACACCCACUCAUUUAUAUGUCUGUGGUUGUUUUCACACCAUGCUGGCAGUGAUGAAUAGUUGUUACAGAGACUGCAGGGUCCACAUAGCUUAAAAUAUUUACUAUCUGGCCCUUUCCAGAAAACUUUGCUGACCUCUGCUAUGGGGUUUUGUGGCUGAGCGUAUGGUGGAAUUCUUUUAUCACAAGUACAAUGGAAAGGCUUUGAGACGAAAGCAAGGAAGACAUCAUCAGAUUUUUCUUUAAAAGAACUCUAGCUAUGGAAGCAUGUAGAGAUUAGAACUGGGGACUCUGGGUGGAUAUUGGGCAUCUAAGAGUAUCCAGGAGACAGUGGUUGAUGGUUUGGACUCCAUUUGUGCCAAGUGGGCACAGGAAAAAAGAGACAGAUUUGAGAUCUCUUUAGCAUUUGUAUCAGACAGGACUUGGUGGCUGAUUGGGGAGGGGAAGUAAGGAUAGAGAGGUGUUCAGGAACACCCAGGUUUCUGCCUGGUGCACCUGCAUGGAUGAGGGUGUCAUCAACCAGAUGGGGAGCCAUGGAGGAGAAGCAAGAUUGAGAGGGAAAGUCAGGAGGUUUUAGUGCCUGUCUAGUUUAAUCACAAUGGGUAAUACAAUAAAUCCCCUAUUAAUGAACAUGUAGAUUUUUUCUAUUAUUUUUCUUUUUUAAAUAAUGCUGCAAUGCAGCAAAAGGAACAGUCAGCAGAGUAAAUAGACAACCCACAGAGUGGGAGAAAUCUUCACAAUCUAUACAUCUGGCAAAGAACUAAUAUCCAGAAUCUACAGCGAACUCAAACAAAUCAGUAAGAAAAAAUAAACAAUCCCAUCAAAAAGUGGGCUAAGCACAUGAGUAGACAAUUCUCGAAAGAAGACAUACAAAUGGCCAACAAACAUAUGAAAAAAAUGCUCAAAAUCACUAAUGAUCAGGGAAAUGCAAAUCAAAACCACAAUGCAAUACAACCUUACUCCUGCAAGAAUGACCAUAAUAAAAAAAUAAAAAAAAUUAGAUGUUGGACUGGAGGCAGUGAACAGGGAACACUUCUACACUCCUGGUGGGAAUGUUAACUAGUACAGCCAGUAUGGAAAACACUGCGGAGAUUCCUUAAAGAACUGAAAGUAGAACUACCAUUUGAUCCAGCAAUCCCACUACUGGGUAUCUACCCAGAGGAAAAGAAGUCAUUAUUUGAAAAAGACACUUGCACAGGCAUGUUUAUAGUGGCACAAUUCACAAUAGCAAAAUCGUGGAAGCAACCCAAAUGCCCAUCAGUCGACGAAUGAAUAAAGAAACUGUAUAUAUAUAUAUAUAUAUAUAUAUAUAUAUAUAUAUAUACACACACACAUAUAUAUACACACACACAUAUAUAAACAUAUAUGUAUAUACACACAUAUAUAAACAUAUAUAUACGCAUACAUAUACAUACACACACACACACACACACACACACACACACACAAUGGAAUACUAUGCAGCCAUAAAAAGGAAUGAAUUGACAGCAUUUGCAGUGACCUGGAUGACAUUGGAGACUAUUAUUCUAAGUUAAGUAACUCAGGAAUGGCAAAGCAAACAUCAUAUGUUCUCACUGUUACGUGAGAGCUAAGCUACAAGGAUGCAAAGGCAUAAGAAUGAUACAAUGGACUUUGGGGACUUGGGGGAAAGGGUGGGAGGGGAGCAAGGGAUAAGAGACUACAAAUAUAGUGUGGUGUGUACCGCUCGGGUGAUGGGUGCACCAAAAUCUCACAAAUCACCACUAAAGAACUUACUCAUGUAACCAAACACCACCUGUACCCAAAUAACUUAUGGAAAAAAUAAAAUAAAAUAAAAAUAAUGCUGUGAUGAAUUCAUUUGUGCAUAUAUCUCAUUGUUUCCUUAGACUAC
rnacentral:lncRNA from 10 species